rnacentral:rRNA from 1 species
AGUGAACGCUGGCGGUAGGCCUAACACAUGCAAGUCGAACGGCAGCACAGUAAGAGCUUGCUCUUACGGGUGGCGAGUGGCGGACGGGUGAGGAAUACAUCGGAAUCUACUUUUUCGUGGGGGAUAACGUAGGGAAACUUACGCUAAUACCGCAUACGACCUACGGGUGAAAUCAGGGGAUCUUCGGACCUUGCGUGAUUGAAUGAGCCGAUGUCGGAUUAGCUAGUUGGCUGGGUAAAGGCCCACCAAGGCGACGAUCCGUAGCUGAUCUGAGAGGAUGAUCAGCCACACUGGAACUGAGACACGGUCCAGACUCCUACGGGAGGCAGCAGUGGGGAAUAUUGGACAAUGGGCGCAAGCCUGAUCCAGCCAUACCGCGUGGGUGAAGAAGGCCUUCGGGUUGUAAAGCCCUUUUGUUGGGAAAGAAAAGCAGCAGGUUAAUACCCCGCUGUUCUGACGGUACCCAAAGAAUAAGCACCGGCUAACUUCGUG